GAAAUGCGAUACGUAGUGUGAAUUGCAGAAUUCAGUGAAUCAUCGAAUCUUUGAACGCACAUUGCGCCCUUUGGUAUUCCAAAGGGCAUGCCUGUUCGAGCGUCAUUUGUACCCUCAAGCUUUGCUUGGUGUUGGGCGUUUUUUGUCUUUGGCUCGCCCAAAGACUCGCCUUAAAACGAUUGGCAGCCGGCCUACUGGUUUCGCGGCGCAGCACAUUUUUGCGCUUGCAAUCAGCAAAAGAGGACGGCAAUCCAUCAAGACUCCUUCUCACGUUUGACCUCGGAUCAGGUAGGGAUACCCGCUGAACUUAAGC
rnacentral:misc_RNA from 1 species